CCUGAAAUCAUCCACGGCCAUCGACACAGCAAGACUCCGGUUCCAUUGGCAAGACGAGUCCGAAAGAGUGUUGUACUCGUUCAACAAAGGAGAAGAGAAUCAACAUCAGGAUAGUCUUUACACAAACAGAACUAAAGCCUUUGUGUCUGAGAUGAGUUCUGGGAAUAUCUCUAUCAAACUCAGCCAAGUAACACUUGAAGACAAGCAGAACGUCUACAGGGCUUUCGCUACACUGUUUGGCGAGAAUGAUAAGCAUAUCCAACCGUGUCGCACUACCCUACUUGUGGCAGCACGGUUCCCGACACCCAGUGUGACUGUGAACAAGACAAAUAUGAAUUCCACGUGUUCAACCCAGGGUGGAUACCCACAACCAAUGGUCACAUGGACCAUCCAGGACCGUGGGAACCGCACUCUGGACCCGUGGGAAGUACAGACCAACAUUACUCUGGAUUCUGAAAGUGGACUGUACAGCGUCUGGAGCCAAGUGAAUAUAACAGAAAAUCAGACGGUGACCUGCCAUAUCUUCAACCCCGUUCUGAGAGAGACUGUGAGCAACACAACCAUCGUCAGCCCCAGUGAUGUUCAGGAAGGCUUUACUCCCAUCAUUAUCACAAUAGUGAUCAUUGCAGUAUUGAUUCUGUUUUCCAUCGGGGGUUAUUUUGUG
ensembl:lncRNA